UGGGCAGAACGUGAGACAACCCAGGGGUC
rnacentral:piRNA from 1 species